UUAACAUGUCUAAACUUAACAUAAACCUACUAAUAUGGCAAAUUGGCAAAUGUUUGUAAAUUUACUAGCUUUUUCUGAGUGAAUACACUUUCCAAGCUUUUUUCAAGUAAAUCCUACUCCAAAUUAUUUUUACAGUGAAUAUCUAAACAAACUAGAGUUGGAAAAAUAGCACGUUCAUUUCUGCAUUUAAUAACUGCAUUGUAAUAAAUAUAUUUUGCAGUUAGUGCAUUCAGAAUAAUAAAAUAUAAUAUAAUAUAACAAAAUAUAAUGUUAACUGAUUAUUCACCAUUAAUUGCGGAAAUAUGUUAAAUUAGUUUGUUGGUUUUAUUAUUAUUUUUUAUUUCUCACACCUCUCAAAGGCACUAUCAUCUUAAAAGCAAUACACAGGAUGUCAAUUCAGCGGGCCAAUUUUUCGAACCAGUGGAGUACUGAAAUCUUUGACUGCAUGAAAGUGAAGGAUAAAACAGAUUGUUUCCUUUCAAUCUUCUGCUUUCCAUAUUUUGCGUGUAAGACGGCUAAGAGGUAUGGAGAGUGUUUUUGCCUUCCUCUGAUUGAUGGAUUUGGUUUGAUGAGGGUAUCCAUGCGUCAUCAUUACGGCAUUGAGGGUAGUCUCUUGACUGACUGCUUGAUUUCCUACUUCUGUUGUCCCUGCGUAUGGUGUCAGAUGUCUCGGGAAAUGAACGCCCAUGAAACUGUAACACGUCAACCUUAAUGAACUCAACUGCCAAUCGACAACAUCCUCAUUUUCCCUCAUUACUUUUUUGGUACUAUACAUGCCCAUGUAAUAUAUUAUUAUAUAAAUAUUACUACCUAAUAUUACCCCAAAUAUUACUUUAUAUUGUGUCCCAAUUGGUAGAAAUAAUUCCCAACAUUUCUCAGCAAUGACACGAUCUGUAUACAUUACCUUUAUAUGAGAUUAUCCUGUUGCCUUGUGCUGACUGUAUGUUUAGGCCUAAAGGUUUGUAUAGUUUAGUAAAUGAAUACAUCAAUCUUCGCACUUUACUGGUUUGUGAAAAUUACUAAUAUGGAAUAAAAGCUAAUGGAGAAAAAAAGACAUACAUAUAAAAAAAAAAAUUUGUAGGCUAAUUUUGAUUAAUAGUCAGACAAAUUACAUAAAAAUAAAAAUAAACUGAGAUAAAAAAAAAAAAAAAGUAUUAUUAUUUAAUUCCACCAGUAGGUGGCAUACAUUUACCAGUAAUCAGUAAAUUGAAGAAAACGAAACCUGGGUCCUGUUGUUCGGUUAGUUUAGUCUGAAUCUGAAUGAUCUGGAUUUUGAAACCCUAUUUGUUUUACCAUCUAGGAUCAGGUAACACAUCAACUUUUGAGCUGAUUUUUCAAAGCAAAAUUGGAUUGGAUCACCCUGAUCCAGA